CUAAAACACAAGCCCGCCAAUCUGAUCCUCAUUACCCCAAUUUCCCCCUUUUGAUUUUCCCCAAACUUCACAAGCCCGCCAAUCUAUCCUCAUUACCCCCAAUUUCUUCCCCUUUUCCCCAAUUCGUGACACACCGUCACCAGCUGCUACUCCCCUCGAUUGCACUACCUCCCUCGUCGCACCACCUCUGCCGUAGCUGUCCCACCUCCACCAUCACCGGCCCACACUGCCACCUUGGGAGAGAGAGAUUGACGACGAUGGUGGCGAAUCUCCGGUGACGACGCAAGCCCCGGAUUUUAAUCGGUGGUUUAGCAAAGGAUACUACCAUAGGUACCUUAGUUAACUAUUUUACAAAGUAUGGAGACCUGAUGGAUUUGGUUAUCAUGAAAGAUCGAUAGACUGGUCGUCUAAGGGGCUUCGGGUUUAUUAAGUAUGUGGAUCCUUCGGUUGUUGACACUGUUAUUGCUGAGACAAAUGUUAUUAAUGGGAAACAAAGGCAUGGAGAUAAGCUGUUUCAUAGCUGGCCAAAUAUCCUUAAAAUGCUAAGAUCAGUUGCUGGGUCAUCUGAAAAGGAUAUAGUCACCCUUGGAUUCCAGUAGCCGAACAUGAUAAAUUGUUGUUUUCCGUUUUUUCGUUACUCCAAAAUCUGGGAGCUGAUGAAAGACCUGAGGGACAUGUUCCGCCAAUUCAGCGUGUAGUACUGGAAGUCUUUCCACAGUUACGUCCGCCUCAUCGUCUUCCUUUAUUGUGGGCAGUCUUCUUCCAGAAGCUUUUGCGUUAUCUUCCAAAUCCGAUUCUUCUGAUCAGGGUGAAGGAGAUGAUACAAUGCCUGUGGAAUCAAAAGGCUACACUUCUGUUUAGGAACGAGUGGUAGCGAGAACAAAGGAAAAUUUCCGACGACCACAACUGAUUUCUUGCGAAUUUCCAGCUCAAAAGUCAAAACGCAGAUGCCAUUGAUCCCGUCUUGAAUCUCUGAGCCUUUGGAGCUUGAGACACAUACUAAGAAUCAUCCGGAUAAAUGCUCAUGAAGUUGGGAAGGCCAGCAAGUUUCAACUCCACCAUUUCUGGUAAUUCAACAACAUUGUUGCACAAACUGACCAUUUCUGGUAGAUCCUCCAAAAACAUAUAAUUCAACUUUUUUAAUGUAACCAACCCAACUCCAUUAUUCUCACCAAUAAGUGCUUCCAAACAAGGGCAGUCGGAUAUUCUAAGCCGCUCAAGCUGCUUCAAACCAUUUGCCAUAUCAACUGUAAAGAGGUCUCCAAUAUUGCUUUCGUUAAGCUCGGUGCACUCUGCGACAAGGUUUAGCGUGUUUCUGAAUGAAUACUUUUCACCAUAAUUCAACUCACAGCCUAUAGAGAUCCUAAACCUUCCAAGGUUCUUAAAGGAC